CUUGAACUCGCAAUAGCUUUGACUUCGCAUCGCCACUGAUAUCAAUUCAGCAACACGCGCCUCGAUGCAUGUGCGCAGCAAUGUUCCGGGCGCGAGCAGCGUGUGCUUUAUUUGUGUCUUUUCGACUUUUGUGCGGUUGACCAUGGCCCAACUAGAAAGUACUGGCUUUCUAUCUUGAAUCCGGUGGCCCCAGAAGCAGGUGCUGGCAAGCAGGCCAUGCACUUUUGGUCAUUAAUUAAUCCGCGUUUAACCUGUUUGUAUACAGCGAGAACAUGUAAUGAAUAAGUUCAUACAUGUGCGUGGCUGGGGGCCGAUCAUUUUUGUAAUAAAGCUUUAUAAGUUGUAUAAAUAAAAAAGUAACAUUGGUAUGACAUUGUGAGUUUCACUGGUGUGCUUUACCUAGUGCUUACUGAACUCACUAUUUUUCAUUUAUCCAUUGCAGGAUUUGUAAUGAUGCAUAAUGAUCAAAAUGCGGAUUUACGGUUUUCUUAGCACAGUUUUCGCAUUUGAUGAGCGCUAGAAC